rnacentral:antisense_RNA from 19 species
GCUUUCUCCCAGGUGGGACUGGGGGUAAAGCGAGCGUCGAACUGGUAGCCGCCGGUUCGGCGCUCAUUUUUUCGUUU